ACACCGUAUUCUGUGAGUUGCGAACGGGUGAGUAACGCGUAGGUAACCUGCCUGGUAGCGGGGGAUAACUAUUGGAAACGAUAGCUAAUACCGCAUAAGAACAUUUACUGCAUGGUAGAUGUUUAAAAGGUGCAAAAGCAUCACUACCAGAUGGACCUGCGUUGUAUUAGCUAGUUGGUGAGGUAACGGCUCACCAAGGCAACGAUACAUAGCCGACCUGAGAGGGUGAUCGGCCACACUGGGACUGAGACACGGCCCAGACUCCUACGGGAGGCAGCAGUAGGGAAUCUUCGGCAAUGGGGGGAACCCUGACCGAGCAACGCCGCGUGAGUGAAGAAGGUUUUCGGAUCGUAAAGCUCUGUUGUUAAGGAAGAACGUGUGUGAGAGUGGAAAGUUCACACAGUGACGGUACUUAACCAGAAAGGGACGGCUAACUACGUGCCAGCAGCCGCGGUAAUACGUAGGUCCCGAGCGUUGUCCGGAUUUAUUGGGCGUAAAGCGAGCGCAGGCGGUUAGAUAAGUCUGAAGUGAAAGGCAGUGGCUCAACCAUUGUAGGCUUUGGAAACUGUUUAACUUGAGUGCAGAAGGGGAGAGUGGAAUUCCAUGUGUAGCGGUGAAAUGCGUAGAUAUAUGGAGGAACACCGGUGGCGAAAGCGGCUCUCUGGUCUGUAACUGACGCUGAGGCUCGAAAGCGUGGGGAGCGAACAGGAUUAGAUACCCUGGUAGUCCACGCCGUAAACGAUGAGUGCUAGGUGUUAGGUCCUUUCCGGGACUUAGUGC
rnacentral:rRNA from 1 species